GGCGGCUGUAGCGCGGUGGUCCCACCUGACCCCAUGCCGAACUCAGAAGUGAAACGCCGUAGCGCCGAUGGUAGUGUGGGGUCUCCCCAUGUGAGAGUAGGGAACUGCCAGGC
rnacentral:rRNA from 2 species